GACGAACGCUGGCGGCGUGCUUAACACAUGCAAGUCGAACGGAAAGGCCCUGCUUUUGUGGGGUGCUCGAGUGGCGAACGGGUGAGUAACAAGUGAGUAACCUGCCCUUGACUUUGGGAUAACUUCAGGAAACUGGGGCUAAUACCGGAUAGGAGCUCCUGCUGCAUGGUGGGGGUUGGAAAGUUUCGGCGGUUGGGGAUGGACUCGCGGCUUAUCAGCUUGUUGGUGGGGUAGUGGCUUACCAAGGCUUUGACGGGUAGCCGGCCUGAGAGGGUGACCGGCCACAUUGGGACUGAGCUACGGCCCAGACUCCUACGGGAGGCAGCAGUGGGGGAGAUUGCACGAUGGGCGGAAGCCUGAUGCGGCAACGCCGCGUGCGGGAUGACGGCCUUCGGGUUGUAUACCGCUUUCGCCUGUGACGAAGCGUGAGUGACGGUAAUGGGUAAAGAAGCACCGGCUAACUACGUG
rnacentral:rRNA from 1 species